CGGAGGGUGCAAGCGUUGUUCGGAUUUAUUGGGCGUAAAGCGCGUGUAGGCGGUUUCUUAAGUCUGAUGUGAAAGCCCUGGGCUCAACCCAGGAAGUGCAUUGGAUACUGGGAGACUUGAAUACGGGAGAGGGUAGUGGAAUUCCUAGUGUAGGAGUGAAAUCCGUAGAUAUUAGGAGGAACACCGGUGGCGAAGGCGGCUACCUGGACCGAUAUUGACGCUGAGACGCGAAAGCGUGGGGAGCAAACAGGAUU
rnacentral:rRNA from 1 species